CCCUGGAACGGGACGCCUUAGAGGGUGAGAGCCCCGUACGGUUGGACGCCUAGCCUCUGUAAAGCUCCUUCAACGAGUCGAGUAGUUUGGGAAUGCUGCUCAAAAUGGGAGGUAAAUUUCUUCUAAAGCUAAAUACCGGCCAGAGACCGAUAGCGCACAAGUAGAGUGAUCGAAAGAUGAAAAGCACUUUGAAAAGAGGGUUAAAUAGCACGUGAAAUUGUUGAAAGGGAAGCGUUUAUGACCAGACUUUUUCCUAGUGGAUCAUCCGGUGUUCUCACCGGUGCACUUCGCUAGGUUUAGGCCAGCAUCGGUUUCCGUAGGGNGAUAAAAGCUUUAGGAAUGUGGCUCUUCGGAGUGUUAUAGCCUAUUGUAUAAUACCCUUAUGGGGACCGAGGUACGCGCUCUGCAAGGAUGCUG
rnacentral:rRNA from 1 species